ACUGGGAUGAGUUGAGGUCUGAUGUGGCUGCGCUGCACAGAUUGAAAGGACUACCUGAUCAAAUGACACGUAGGACCACAGGAGCAGACACCAGAGAGAUAAUAAUGCACGGGACCAGGACAAAGAGAUUCAGCAAUUACAGGGCAUAUGUGGAGAAAAAGCCCAUGGCUUUAUUUGAUGGUCUUAGGGGAUGUGACAAUUUUACAACAUGCGUCAUUCAAAUGG